GACGAACGCUGGCGGCAGGCCUAAUACAUGCAAGUCGAACGCCCCGCAAGGGGAGUGGCGCACGGGUGAGUAACGCGUGGGGAUGUGCCCUUGGGUACGGAACGACACCGGGAAACUGGUGCUAAUACCGUAUAAUGACUCCGGUCCAAAGAUUUAUCGCCCAAGGAUCAACCCGCGUUGGAUUAGCUAGUUGGUGAGGUAAUGGCUCACCAAGGCGACGAUCCAUAGCUGGUCUUAGAGGAUGGUCAGCCACACUGGAACUGAGACACGGUCCAGACUCCUACGGGAGGCAGCAGUAAGGAAUAUUGGACAAUGGGGGAAACCCUGAUCCAGCCAUGCCGCGUGAAUGAAGAAGGCCUUAGGGUUGUAAAGUUCUUUUAGUGGUGAAGAUAAUGACGGUAGCCACAGAAAAAGCUCCGGCUAACUCCGUGCCAGCCGCCGCUGUAA
rnacentral:rRNA from 1 species